AGUGCAGUAGUGUAGUGGUUAACACACGAGGCCAGGAUAAGCGCGAGACGCAGGUACGAAUCCCGCCUGAGCCG
rnacentral:tRNA from 1 species